rnacentral:rRNA from 1 species
UGGGGAAUAUUGCACAAUGGGCGAAAGCCUGAUGCAGCGACGCCGCGUGGGGGAUGACGGCCUUCGGGUUGUAAACCCCUUUCAGCAGGGAAGAAGCGCAAGUGACGGUACCUGCAGAAGAAGCGCCGGCUAACUACGUGCCAGCAGCCGCGGUAAUACAGAGGGUGCAAGAGUUAAUCGGAAUUACUGGGCGUAAAGCGCGCGUAGGUGGUUUGUUAAGUCGGAUGUGAAAGCCCUGGGCUCAACCUGGGAAUUGCAUUUAGAACUGGCAGGCUAGAGUUUUGGAGAGGGGAGUGGAAUUCCAGGUGUAGCGGUGAAAUGCGUAGAUAUCUGGAGGAACAUCAGUGGCGGAGGCGACUCCCUGGUCAGUAACUGACGCUCAUGUGCGAAAGUGUGGGUAGCGAACAGGAUUAGAUACCC